rnacentral:rRNA from 2 species
UGGGGAAUCUUGCGCAAUGGGCGAAAGCCUGACGCAGCCAUGCCGCGUGAAUGAUGAAGGUCUUAGGAUUGUAAAAUUCUUUCAGUAGGGACGAUAAUGACGGUACCUACAGAAGAAGCCCCGGCUAACUUCGUGCCAGCAGCCGCGGUAAUACGAAGGGGGCUAGCGUUGCUCGGAAUUACUGGGCGUAAAGGGCGCGUAGGCGGAUCGUUAAGUCAGAGGUGAAAUCCCGGAGCUCAACUCCGGAACUGCCCUUGAUACUGGCGAUCUUGAGUAUGAGAGAGGUAUGUGGAACUCCGAGUGUAGAGGUGAAAUUCGUAGAUAUUCGGAAGAACACCAGUGGCGAAGGCGACAUACUGGCUCAUUACUGACGCUGAGGCGCGAAAGCGUGGGGAGCAAACAGG